rnacentral:rRNA from 1 species
UACGGAGGGUGCGAACGUUAAUCGGAAUUACUGGGCGUAAAGGGCGCGUAGGCGGCGUGUUAAGUCACUUGUGAAAUCUCUAAGCUUAACUUAGAACGGUCAAGUGAUACUGAUGUGCUAGAGUGCAGAAGGGGCAACCGGAAUUCUUGGUGUAGCGGUGAAAUGCGUAGAUAUCAAGAGGAACACCUGAGGUGAAGACGGGUUGCUGGGCUGACACUGACGCUGAGGCGCGAAAGCUAGGGUAGCAAACGGG